UACGUAGGGUGCGAGCGUUGUCCGGAAUUAUUGGGCGUAAAGAGCUCGUAGGCGGUGUGUCACGUCGGCCGUGAAAACCUGCAGCUUAACUGUGGGCGUGCGGUCGAUACGGGCAUCACUUGAGUUCGGCAGGGGAGACUGGAAUUCCUGGUGUAGCGGUGAAAUGCGCAGAUAUCAGGAGGAACACCGGUGGCGAAGGCGGGUCUCUGGGCCGAUACUGACGCUGAGGAGCGAAAGCGUGGGGAGCAAACAGG
rnacentral:rRNA from 1 species